AGAGUUUGAUCAUGGCUCAGGAUAAACGCUGGCGGCGUCCUUACGCAUGCAAGUCGAACGAGCACUUCGGUGCGAGUGGCGGACGGGUGAGUAACACGUAUGUGAUCUGUCCCGAACUGGGGGAUACCGCCCGAAAGGGUGGCUAAUACCGCAUGUGGUCUUUGGGUUGCGGCCCAGAGAGUAAAGCUCAGGCGGUUCGGGGGGAGCGUGCGGCCGAUUAGCUAGUUGGUGGGGUAAAGGCCUACCAAGGCGACGAUCGGUAGCUGGUCUGAGAGGACGAUCAGCCACACGGGGACUGAGACACGGCCCCGACUCCUACGGGAGGCAGCAGCGAGGAAUCUUGGUCAAUGGGCGCAAGCCUGAACCAGCGACGCCGCGUGGAGGAUGAAGGCCCUCGGGUUGUAAACUCCUUUUGGGUGGGAAGAAGCUCUGACGGUACCACCCGAAUAAGCCCCGGCUAACUACGUGCCAGCAGCCGCGGUAAUACGUAGGGGGCGAGCGUUGUCCGGAUUUAUUGGGCGUAAAGCGCGUGCAGGCGGUUCGUUAAGUCCGUUGUGAAAGCUCCUGGCUCAACUGGGAGAGGUCUUCGGAUACUGGCGAACUCGAGGGAGGCAGAGGAAGGUGGAAUUCCGGGUGUAGUGGUGAAAUGCGUAGAGAUCCGGAGGAACCCAGUGGCGAAGGCGGCCUUCUGGGCCUUUCCUGACGCUGAGACGCGAAAGCGUGGGGAGCGAACCGGAUUAGAUACCCUAGUAGUCC
rnacentral:rRNA from 1 species